UUUGUAGCCAGUGGUGAAGACCAAACUGAGAAUUCUAGUUAUGGCUCAGGUGGUGGGAAUUCGAGGGGUGGUUUCAAAGGCAGAGGUGGUUCUUUUGACAGAGGAGGCCUUAGAGGUAGAGGGGAGAGAGGAGGUUUUGGGGGUAGAAAUGGUUCAGACAGAGGCUUUGGAGGCAGAGGUAGAUCUAACGGAGGAGGAUUUGGAUGUAGAGGUGGUUCAGAUAGAGGAGGUUUUGGUGGUAGAGAUAGAUUUGACAGAGGAUAUGGUGGCAGAGGUGGUGGAAGGAGGGAUCAUAGUAGUUGGAAUGAAAAUAAUGAUUCUGGUGAUGACAAGGCCUUCGACUGGAAGAAUAGGACAAACAAUGCUGGCGGAGGAUGGAAAACUAGUGGUGGAAGCAGCUGGAACCAAGGAGGUGCUGAUAAGAGCCA
rnacentral:misc_RNA from 1 species